rnacentral:ncRNA from 1 species
UUGUAAGAAUUUUUGCAAUGUAUGGAAUUAAAGGCAGGUUUAGAAUAAGCAGUAUUAAGUUUCCAAUAUACAUCGAAAUAAUUACAGCCCAAAAAAUUUGUGGUUCAUCGGUCAUUAAUCUCGGAC